CCUACGGGAGGCAGCAGUGGGGAAUAUUGCACAAUGGGCGCAAGCCUGAUGCAGCGACGCCGCGUGCGGGAUGGAGGCCUUCGGGUUGUAAACCGCUUUUGUUCAAGGGCAAGGCACGGUCUUUGGCCGUGUUGAAUGGAUUGUUCGCAUCAGCCCCGGCUAACUACGUGCCAGCAGCCGCGGUAAUACGUAGGGUGCAAGCGUUAUCCGGAUUCAUGGGGCGGAAAGGGCUUGUCGGCGGUUCGUUCCGUCCGAUGUGAAAGUCCCUCGCUUAACGGUUGAUCCGCGCCGGGUACGGGCGGGCUUGAGUGCGGGAGGGGAGACUGGAAUUCCCGGUGUAGCGGUGGAAUGUGUAGAUAUCGGGAAGAACACCAGUGGCGAAGGCAGGUCUCUGGGCCGUUACUGACGCUGAGGAGCGAAAGCGUGGGGAGCGAACAGGAUUAGAUACCCUUGUAGUC
rnacentral:rRNA from 1 species